rnacentral:rRNA from 1 species
AUUGAACGCUGGCGGCAUGCCUUACACAUGCAAGUCGAACGGCAGCACGGGUGCUUGCACCUGGUGGCGAGAGGCGAACGGGUGAGUAAUAUAUCGGAACGUACCUUAUUGUGGGGGAUAACGCAGCGAAAGCUGUGCUAAUACCGCAUAAUCCCUAAGGGGGAAAGCGGGGGACCGUAAGGCCUCGCGCAAUUAGAGCGGCCGAUACCUGAUUAGCUAGUUGGUGAGGUAAAGGAUAACCAAGGCAACGAUCAGUAGCUGGUCUGAGAGGACGAUCAGCCACACUGGGACUGAGACACGGCCAGACUCCUACGGGAGGCAGCAGUGGGGAAUUUUGGACAAUGGGGGCAACCCUGAUCCAGCAAUGCCGCGUGAGUGAAGAAGGCCUUCGGGUUGUAAAGCUCUUUUGUCAGGGAAGAAACAGCAGCUCUAACACAGUUUGCGAAUGACGGUACCUGAAGAAUAAGCACCGGCUAACUACGUGCCAGCCGCCGCCGUAA